rnacentral:lncRNA from 1 species
UUGGUAGCCAGUUCUUUAGUCUCGCCUCCGAAAGCAUCAUGAAACAUCACAAACAAAUUAAGUCCCCAUCAGGCUAAGGAACCUCUGAUGCCUAAGUCAGAUUACCUCAAUAGAAUAGAGGAGGUUCUGUAGAGAAGAAGGUCAAGAGAAAGAGAGAGGUUCGGAGUUUGUGUCAGUAUCAGAGUGUCCAUGGGGAAGAGGGAGAGAGAAAAAGAGAAAAUAUCUCAAAUAUCCUCUAUCUAUAUCCAAUACGGAGCUUGAUAUGUGAUACCUUGAGUUAUCUGGAUGGUCUCCAAGAAAAAGAAUAUAUAUAUAGGCAAUGGUAGGAGCCUGUUGAGCUUGGAACAUGCGAGGA